rnacentral:rRNA from 1 species
GGCCUAACACAUGCAAGUCGAGCGGAAACGACACUAACAAUCCUUCGGGUGCGUUAAUGGGCGUCGAGCGGCGGACGGGUGAGUAAUGCCUAGGAAAUUGCCUUGAUGUGGGGGAUAACCAUUGGAAACGAUGGCUAAUACCGCAUAAUGCCUACGGGCCAAAGAGGGGGACCUUCGGGCCUCUCGCGUCAAGAUAUGCCUAGGUGGGAUUAGCUAGUUGGUGAGGUAAUGGCUCACCAAGGCGACGAUCCCUAGCUGGUCUGAGAGGAUGAUCAGCCACACUGGAACUGAGACACGGUCCAGACUCCUACGGGAGGCAGCAGUGGGGAAUAUUGCACAAUGGGCGAAAGCCUGAUGCAGCCAUGCCGCGUGUAUGAAGAAGGCCUUCGGGUUGUAAAGUACUUUCAGUUGUGAGGAAGGGGGUAGCGUUAAUAGCGCUAUCUCUUGACGUUAGCAACAGAAGAAGCACCGGCUAACUCCGUGCCAGCAGCCGCGGUAAUACGGAGGGUGCGAGCGUUAAUCGGAAUUACUGGGCGUAAAGCGCAUGCAGGUGGUUCAUUAAGUCAGAUGUGAAAGCCCGGGGCUCAACCUCGGAACUGCAUUUGAAACUGGUGAACUAGAGUACUGUAGAGGGGGGUAGAAUUUCAGGUGUAGCGGUGAAAUGCGUAGAGAUCUGAAGGAAUACCCAGUGGCGAAGGCGGCCCCCCUGGACAGAUACUGACACUCAAAUGCGAAAGCGUGGGGGAGCAAACAGGAUUAGAUAACCUG